rnacentral:rRNA from 1 species
GACGAACGCUGGCGGCGUGCCUAAUACAUGCCAGUAGAACGCUGAAGGAGGAGCUUGCUUCUCUGGAUGAGUUGCGAACGGGUGAGUAGCGCGUAGGUAACCUGCCUGGUAGCGGGGGAUAACUAUUGGAAACGAUAGCUAAUACCGCAUAAGAGUAGAUGUUGCAUGACAUUUGCUUAAAAGGUGCAAUUGCAUCACUACCAGAUGGACCUGCGUUGUAUUAGCUAGUUGGUGGGGUAACGGCUCACCAAGGCGACGAUACAUAGCCGACCUGAGAGGGUGAUCGGCCACACUGGGACUGAGACACGGCCCAGACUCCUACGGGAGGCAGCAGUAGGGAAUCUUCGGCAAUGGACGGAAGUCUGACCGAGCAACGCCGCGUGAGUGAAGAAGGUUUUCGGAUCGUAAAGCUCUGUUGUAAGAGAAGAACGAGUGUGAGAGUGGAAAGUUCACACUGUGACGGUAUCUUACCAGAAAGGGACGGCUAACUACGUG